AGGCUCAGAGGAGUCAGCGUCUAUGAAGCAAUAAUAAUCCUUCAUAUACUUGAAGACAAGUAUUACAUUUCCCUCCAGCAGCCUCUUCUCAUUGCGCACUGCCUAAGUGUUCUGUAUUACCUAUCCUCAAGUCCCUUGAGCUGCUUAAUGCCUCGCUAUUUACACACUUCUCCCAUUCACUGUGAGUUAUAUACAGCAUGACAUGGCCUUUGGCAUCGAAAGGAGAUGGUUUUAAAAGCACGCUAGCUCAACACAGAAGAGAAACUAAAAGAAGCAGAACUGACUACAUACCUCUCCUCUCGGCUGGCUGGGCCUUCCAGUGCAAAUCAGAAUUGCCCCGUGGGUAAAAGGGUAUUCUCUCGAUGUGUAAAUUGAUCUUCCCAACAAAUGAGUUUGCUUGUUUACUACCUUGGAAAGGGUCUUUUCAUGAAAAACAAAAAAUGGUGAGCAGAAAUUUAUGAGAAGCUGUGAUUCCAGAUGGUCUUUGAGAUUUAUUGACUUUCUCCUUGGCUCUUUAAUUGCAGGUGUAUUACAGAUCUUUUACUUGCCCCAAGGUCAGUCAGAUACCAGUUUCCCUGACUUGGUCCAUGUUCACAGGGCGCAGGAAAAGCUCCCCAUGGAGUAAAUGGCUGAGGGGAAAGGCCAACAACUCCUUCCCUCCCUGAUUCCAGGCAGGAUGCUGGGAUACUGACUGUGGCUAGUGGACUCUUCACCUAUGGCUGCCAGCUCCAACCCUUUGCUACAUAUAUCUAAGGGACAGGUAUGAAAGCAUUAGAGCUGUUCUGUUUCUCUGGAGAGAGUUUACGUAUUCUCCAUCAGGUUCCCAGGAUAGGGGCCCAAUCGGAGUUGUAGCCGCAGGCCUACACCACAGCCACAGCAACUCGGGAUCUGAGCCACUUCUGCGACCUACACCACAGCUCACGGCAACGCCGGAUCCUUAACCCACUGAGCAAGGCCAGGGAUCGAACCUGAAACCUCAUGGAUGCUAGUCGGGUUUGUUAACCGCUGAGCCACGAUGGAAACUCCAGGUUCUGAAAUUUCAUAUCAAGAUUGUGGACAUGGGUGCUUUUUAGAGUUUGGGAAAAUUAUCCCUUAAUUCAAUAAACAAAAUCAUUGUGCAGCUAUUCUAUGCCAUGAGAAUGAAUGUAUCCAUGACAAGCCAUUUGACAUAGCCUUUUCCCUUCUUAGAAUUUACAGUCUGAGAGGGGUGGGGGUGCAGUUGGAAAGAGAGGUGUGAAAGUUUGCCUAAGAGGCAAGGCAGUGUCCCACUUAAGAGCCUAUGUGAGAUUCCUCAGUUUCAAAUCACAGCUCUACCACUUACUACUGUAUCUUCUUGGUUAAGUUAAUUAAACUCUUCAACCUCAGUUUCCUUACCUGAAAAAUGGAAUGAUAGUGAUACAACUGAAUGCCUCGGGUUGUUGAGUAAAUGAGGUAACUUCCUGGCACCUAGCAGAGGCUCAGUAAAUUCUAGCUGUCAUUAUUAGUGUGAGAAGUGACAUACCCAAGUCAGAGUCAUGGUUUUUCCAGCUCAAGAUUCUGUCUCCGGAGGGUGUCAGGCAUAUUUUGUGGAAGAGCCUUAGCUUUUCUCUUUAAAUAUUUAUUUAAAAUGGUUAGUGACGUAUACUAUGUUUUCCAGUUUCCCUAAAUAGUUUGUUUUGGAGAUGCCAUUUGGAAUAGAUUUAGAUUUCUCUGCAGCAGAGUAAAUAGUAUCCUUCUUCACAACAAGAUCAAUUAAUAGCUGUUCCCUUCCUGGGAUUCUAGGAAUCUUAAUCUAGAAUGUUUCUAGGGUGAGUGUUUAUUUGACUCCUUACUUCUAGUAUAGAGGCUGGGUUUCCAUUUAGUCGCCUGGGGAGUGUAAGGUGUGGGCUGUCUGGGGAAAUGAGAAAUUUAGACUUCAGGAGAAAUUUCAGUAGACAUACUUAUAUUGAGAAUUUGGAAUAAUUAGAACUGAAUAGCCCAAAUUUACCAAUUCAACUGAACUGUAACCUCAGACUGAUAAAUAAUUCUUAAGUGAAUCUGGUCCCAGAGUCACAAAGAGUUAGCCUUUCCCUGCUGAGGAGACUGAAAGGUAUGCUUUUGAAAGCCAGGUCCCUAGCUGGAGUUGCCCGGGAGUCCCUUCACUUGCUGCAGGUGACACGAAUUUGCCCUCUUCCCAACCCUGACCCAGAGCAUGUUGAAAAUUUUAAGCCUUGAUGUGGUUCUUAGCUUGGAGUCUCUUUUUUGCUCAGUACCUCCUCAAGUCAGACUUUCCAUAAGAAACAUGAAAGCAAGUUUCUGUGAUAAUAAUUCUUCCUCAAAAGCACCAUGUUUCUACUAAGAAGUGACGGAAUCAGAAGGAGAAUAGUCUUAUUCUUGGAGGAUGAUGUUUGGACCAGGACAGAUUGAUAGCUCCUAACUCAAAACAAAGAAUGUAGUCAAAACUUUUUUGUUAGUUUCUUUAUUCCCCAUCAUUUAAACUGUCACCUCCUUCCUCCCCUUGAAGGAAAACAUUAAGAAAGGUAGGCUCAAACUCGUGUUGGGCUUGUUUCACUUUAUAUCGUUUUUAACUGUGUUUUUGCUUCCUGAGUCAUGGCAGGUUCAUUAACAUGGAAUCAUUAACAUUAUUGUUUUAAAAGUUCUCUUUUGUCAAAAAUGUGAGUUUUUCCAGCACGUUAAUAACUCUCAUCCAUGUGAAGCCCAACUCCUUGAAUUUCUCACCGUGCAACAGGCUUCUUUUCAGGUAGCUCUGAAGGAUUUGAACAGAAAGUUUAAUUACAUGUCUUUUUCUUUCUUUCUUUCUUUUUCCCAGAAAAUGUACUUAAGGCAAAAGUUUGCUUCAGCAGCUAAUAACUUACCAGGGGUUUGUUGAAUACACAGUAUAAUCUCUUAGAGUCAUGGUAACCGGGGUGCAAAGAAGAGGCUUAAUUGAAUACAAUGUGUACUGUACUGUGUCUUUGGAAUGACAAUCGCCAUACUUCAGUGUACACUGCUCAUUUCUGGAAGUCUCUGGAGUCUAAAUUAUGUAAAACUGAAAACAUUCUCUGGCUAAGCAGCUGAGAAACUAAUUUUUUGAUGUUGCUGUUGUCCACCUAAGUGGGCCAAUACGUGCUAAACUGCUAAGGCUUGCACAUUUAAUGGCCACACUGCACCAUGUAAUUUCAGACAGCAAAAAGUAUGUGCUGCUGGUAUGAUCCCCUUUGGUUGUCUCAGAGAAGUGUGGAAAAAGAGCAAAGUACAGACACCUGCGUAAACACGAAAGAGCAGCGGUCCUCCUGACAGAAACCCCGGGCAGAGGCUAUAGUUCAGAAAAGUUUGCACCCAAGUCCUGUAGCCAUUGCCCCAAAGAGAGCUUCCUUUUCUCACUUAUAUUCUUUGCAUGUGGAUCUGUUUGCAGGCUUAGUCCCCGGGAGAGAGAUUCUGAGCUGUCUUUGUGCUAAAUUAAACAUUAGUUUUCUCCUUGGGAACCUGAUCUUCCAUAGACCAGGCAACUAUAUCUUUCUGAGAGAGAUCUGAGCUCCCUCAGGAAGAGACCAGCUCGGGAGCCUCCUUACCUCUGCUUUUUGCUUCCCUGGCAUGGGUGUGUGUUGCAUGGGAAUUGCCUUUUCUAACCAGGUCCCUUAAAGCAAGGACUUGUACUCUCGUACUCAGUAGAGUGUGGGAGGACCCAGGCCAGCUUGGCUUGGCAUAUAAUACAUGGAAAUGGUCAGAGCAGCACCCAGAUGAUAGAGGAUUUCAGCUGCCCACGGGAAUGAGUUUCCUUGGCUCACGGCAUCCCAAAUUUUGAACCCAAGGCAAUGAAAGGGAGUAGUAGGCAAAAUAGCCAUCUCAUUUAGCCCUCUCACCUCUCCAUCCUGCCCAUCCCCAAGAGAGCUAGUUGGUAUUGAUCUAAAAAUAGACAUUAUUCUAUCAAUUUGUACAUCUUAUGAGCCCUUAGGGAGAAAACAGACCAAACCCCUUUCUCAUAGGUGAAGAAAUAUUAAAGCCCAUUUAAAAGAAAAUAUUUUGAGUUCCCAUAGCAGUAGAGGUAGAACUAGAACCCAAGUUUUCUGACACCAAUCCCAGGUUAUAAAACGUAGUCCUUUCAAUUAAUCUAUGAAAAGAACAGUUAAGGGCAAUGCAGGACUUAUUUUAAAGGUUUUUUUUUUUUAAAAAAAAAAUACGAGAGUAUAGUUGGUUUACAAUGUGUCAAUUUCUGCUGUACAGCAAAUCGACUCAGUCAUACAUAUAUGUUCUAUUUUAAAUCUUGAUCGCAGAAGGANUAUAUAUUCUAUUUUAAAUCUUGAUCGCAGAAGGAACGUGGAGUUUAGAGCCUAGGGUAAGUUGUUUUUUAAAUGAUCACCAUGAUUCUGUCAAGCCCACUUGCCCCUUUGCAAUGUGACUUUACUACUCCUCGAAUUGAAAAAUGGAUGCUCUUUCUCCCCUUGAACCUUGAAGAGUCCUGUGACUUGUUUUAACCAAGAGUCUGUGACAGAAAUGGUGUUGUGCUACUUCUGAGGAUGGGCUUUAAGAAGCUCUCUUAGACUUAAAAUCUGUUAAGGGUAAGUCUUAGGUGUUUUUUCCAUUAAACAAGCAAACAAGUAAGUAAGUAAAUAAAAACAAAGAGGGCAGGGCAGGAGAAAACUUGGUGACGUGAUGGAUAUGUUUUUGGCCUUGACGGUGGUGAUGGUUUCCUGGGUAUGUGUUUAUCCCCAAACUCAUUGAGUUGUGUACAUUAAAUAUGUAGAGCUCUUUUAUGUCAAUCAUAUCUUAAUAAAAUGGUUUUUUAAAAAGUCUUCUUGGGACACUGAGACCAACAUAUAUUGAAGCUGGUCUAGCCAGCUAUAGGAUGAGUGACAGGCUGAGAACCAAGGUGCUCCUGCCUUCAAUCAGCACCAACUGCCAACACGAGAGUGAGGCCACCUUGGACCAACCAGUCUUCCAACUCAGUGCAGCCAAACGAGUGAGUGAGCCCACAUGAAAUCAGCAGAGGAACUGCCUAGUCAACCCAGAGGACCAUGGGAAAUAUUGCAGAAUUAUUUUAAGCGCCGAAGUUUUGGGGGUGGUUUGUAACUUAGCAGAGGUUAACUGAAACAGAGCCAGAAAACCUUAGCACGGAAGACAGUCCUGCCUCUUCUGGUGUGUUACCCCAAGGACUGGUUACAUAACAUCUUUGAAGACAUUUUAUGCUUAUGUACUAUAUGAGAUAAUACAUCAAAGGACCUAGGGUGUUGUCUGGCACGUGGUACCCUUAACAGACAUUAGCGUCCUUGCUUUGUCUUUUGUUCCUUCUCUCUGUAUUAUAAUUCACUUCAUGGGCAUCAAUAUUCUUGUAGGUUUCGCUAGCUCACUCUUCCUCUGAACAGCAAUUUAUUUUGUCGCUCCUGGUUGAUGGCCUGGUGGUGUCCUUCCUCCUAACUCCCGAAUUUCCAGUAUUCUCGUUCUGCUCCAGGGAACACAUCUGCCUUCGAUAGUCUACCCUUAAAAUAGAAAAGGGUUAACCUCAUAAAGAUGUCACUCCCCUUGUACUGCUAUGCUGCCCUUGGGAGGGUCAAACAGCUAGCAAAUAUAUAUGGGCAAUGUAAUUGCCUUUGAUCUCCUAGGUCACAGAAGACUCUCCUAGCCAGUGUGGCAUCCAGGUGGGACAUAAGCAGAUUCUGUCUUGAAGAGCAGAGUUUCUCCGUCUGUUGAUCGCUAUUUUUGUUUUUGCUAGCAAAUGACUCUAAGGGCCUCAUUUUUUCCCAUCUUAGGCUUUGCAACAAAUAAUAAGCAAAGACAGUGAUAUAAUGAUAACUAUAUUAUACUUCUUAUCUUCUUAGUGAUAAUGGAAAGUAGUGGCUGCAGAAUUAGGUGUUGAAGGUCCCAGUGCUCCCACUGCUACCAGCUAGUAGCAAUUUAGUCAAGUCCUUUUACUUCCCUGGUAGUUACUUUCCGUCUUGGAAGGAGAGUGAGGGAGGGGCGCUUGGUCUGUGGUUGGCUCACCUCUGAAGUCCCGUUUGCACUAAUACACUUGGAGUAAGUUCCCUGGUAUGUUACUUUUGUUUUUCAACCUUCAAUAUAUAUUCAAUAUUCAAUAUAUAUUGAAGGUUGAAAAUAUAUCUGUUAGGAAGAGUAGAAAGAAGGAGAGAUGACAAGGGUGAGAAUGUUUUAUUUUGUUUUUUUGAAGGAAGCACUAGUAAGAGGGUCUGAAGUAAUCUCAGGAAAAGGGCUGUGGCAGAGGGCAAAUUAACAGCCUUAUUAACUGCUUAGCAUCCUUCCUAGAGGUAAUGAACAAAAUCUCUCCAUAUCUGACCCUUUUGGAUGGGGUUUAAGGGUUCCAGUAUGAGAAACACUGUUGUAGAGUUUGAUUUAUUGUGUUUACUUUGGGGGGGAAGCACUGAUUUUUUUUUUCCCCCUAGGUCCUCCCAACUACAUUUGGCAGCAUAUCUGUGGGUAAAGAAGUUUUCCAAUCUAAUCCCCCUGUGAAAUAAUUACAUGAAAUAUAAAAUGUAAAACGAAAAGGAAAAUAUUCUCACAGAGCCUUCCUUCCUCUGGAAUUGACUGGUGUUUUAGCUAUAUCCAUCGUGUUCUCCAUCUGUUUGUCUCUCGUUUGUAUGUAUAUAAAACAAUUGAAACAUGCAAAUGAAGGGAUGGGAUUUUAUAUUGUCACCACUUCAUUUUUUAAACAUGUUUCUGCUUUAAAGGGGAACUGCAAAAGAGAGUCACUGAGAAAUUGGCCUGGAGGAGGAGUAUUCAACCCACAGCCUCUCCUCUGCCCCUUAUCACUAAAACUCUAAACAGAGAGUAUAAUCACCUAUUUCCCAAGGGCAGCCCUAAGCCCUUAAAACUCAGAUCUGUUUAAGGAUUUACUAGAACUGGAAAAGAGAAAUGCACAGGAUCUGCUCCAAACCAACAAAGGAAAAUUUACCCGACCAAAUAUUCAAUCUAGAGAAUUUCUUUGAUAGCACACUCUCCUCCCUCCCUAUCUCUUGAUUUUGUUAGGACACAGCUCUUCAAAUUGCAUCUUCACGACUCCUAGAAUCUUGGGAGUCUGUGGAUCUGAGGCUCCAGGCCAGCCCAGGGCAUUUUCUUUCACAAAACAAGAUAUAACUAGCAGGAAGCCCAAAAGGGCAUUUGGUGGUAGUUGUCGUUUAUUUUGUUUCAAAGGGUAGACACACUCAGCUUCAUUGUCUGUUGGCUCAGAGCCAGAAGGAUGGUGGCAUUUUUCCUAGUAACUUAUGAAGUCUGUAGCUUUUCUUCUGAGAUUUUUUUUUUUUUUUUAGGUGGAAAUGCUUGAUCUUAUGCUAUGAACCAUGGCUUUUCUUUUUAAAAACACUAUGAUAAAGGAAGUCUAGUUGCAUUUCUUUUCCAAUAGAUUGGGUUUUACUUUUGCUUAGAAAAUUACAUGCACACCCAUGCACACAAUUUACCAUGGUUAUUUUUUAGUAUAUAUAGUGUACUAUUAUUAGUAUAUAGAGAUACAAAUUGAUUAUAUGGGUGAUUUACAGAGAAAAUAGAAGUAAGGUGAUACAUUAAAGAGGAUGAUGGGGAAGACAGUUUUUAAGGAGAUUGCUCAGGAAGACAGGAGUCUGCUAAACUGCAGAGAGUAGGAAAGAGAAUGUUGUAUCCCACUGGUCAGUGUGGAGGGACAGGAGACCUCUAUUCUGGUCCACGCUUCACCGGUAACUAAAAGGGUGGCCUUGGGGCCAGUCAGUCCUCCUUUGCUUUUUGGAGUUCCCAUCAGCAACCCUAAAGGUUUGGAUUGCUCAGCAUUUUGCUUGGCUGGAUUAUGCUUGACACCCAGUAUUUGGCUCUGGUAUCAUCUCCUUGGAGACCCCUCCCUGGCUCCCCUAACUCUUGUUGACACACGUGCUUGAUGUCCCUCUCUCCUCUUUCCCUGUCACCUUAUCCCUUGGUAGAGGUUUUAUUGUCUUCAUAACUUCCAUCACCGUCUGCGUUUAUGUUGAUUCCUCAUUCAUUUGUGCCUUUCCUAUGUUUCCCCACUGGAACAUAAGCCCCAUGAGACCAGAGACCUUAUCAGUCUUGUUCACCACGCGCAUCCCCAGCCCCUAGCAGUUCCUGGAACAUUUUGGACCCACAAUGAAUAUUCGUUGAGUGAAUGACUAGAUCAGUGGCUUUUAAACUAGAGAUGUCUCACAAGUUUUUCAGGGAUGGAUGUAAGAAAGAGAGACGGAGAUACAUGUGGUGGGCCUCCAAGUUCCCCACCUCCUGUUUAAUUAUGUGUAUGUUAUGUAUAUGUGUUAUAUCUGUGUCGAUAUAUAUCAAGAGGUCUUUUUUGGCUGUAUGUGAGGCGUACAGAAGUUGCCAGGUCAGGAAUCAAACCCACAUCACAGCAGCAACUGGAGCCAUGGCAGUGGCAAUGCCGGAUGCUGAACCUACUGACCCACACGGGAACUCACUAUAUAUCACUAAGUUUCUAAUGACACUAAAAUAUGUAACGUUAUAUAUAAAAACAGUAGUUUUUAAUCACACUAAGGCAUAUAUGUAUGUAUUGUGGAUAUCUAUAGAUAUGGAUAUGGGAUAUGGAUAUGCCUUAGUGUGAUUAAAAACAUGACUCCAUGUGCUACAACCAUUUGAAACAUACAGGGGCAUGAUGACCUUUUAAGAUUGUUCCCAGAUUGGAAUUUCUGUUGUGGCUUAGCGAAAACAAUCUGACUAGCAUCCAUGAGGAUGCAGGUGCGAUUCGUGGCCCCGCUCAGUGGGUUAAGGAUCUGGCAUUGCCAUGAGCUGUGGUGUAGGUCGCAGAUGCAGCUUGGGUCUGGCGUUGCUGUGACUGUGGUGUAGGCCGGCAGCUACAGCUCCGAUUUGACCCCUAGCUUGGGAACUUCCAUAUGCCUCAGGUAUGGCCCUAAAAAGACAAAAAAAAAAAA
rnacentral:lncRNA from 1 species